rnacentral:rRNA from 2 species
GACGAACGCUGGCGGCGUGCCUAAUACAUGCAAGUCGAGCGGACAGAAGGGAGCUUGCUCCCGGAUGUUAGCGGCGGACGGGUGAGUAACACGUGGGUAACCUGCCUGUAAGACUGGGAUAACUCCGGGAAACCGGAGCUAAUACCGGAUAGUUCCUUGAACCGCAUGGUUCAAGGAUGAAAGACGGUUUCGGCUGUCACUUACAGAUGGACCCGCGGCGCAUUAGCUAGUUGGUGGGGUAAUGGCUCACCAAGGCGACGAUGCGUAGCCGACCUGAGAGGGUGAUCGGCCACACUGGGACUGAGACACGGCCCAGACUCCUACGGGAGGCAGCAGUAGGGAAUCUUCCGCAAUGGACGAAAGUCUGACGGAGCAACGCCGCGUGAGUGAUGAAGGUUUUCGGAUCGUAAAGCUCUGUUGUUAGGGAAGAACAAGUGCGAGAGUAACUGCUCGCACCUUGACGGUACCUAACCAGAAAGCCACGGCUAACUACGUGC